UUGGUUUGUUUUGGGUGGAUGGCUCUUUGCUUUUGCAACAACUUCCACCUGGCAUACCUCUUCAGUUAUGCGUCAAGGUUGUUUCUCCUUGUGCGCUUUUGGUUGCCUGUGUUGCCUACCGAUAUGAUGGUACCAUGUUCUUAUAAGAAUGCCUUGUUUCAUUUUACGUCGAACGUGAAAGCGUGGGAUGAACAUCAAAGCAGUUCCUUUGAUCCACCUUGAUGCCUAUGCAAUCAUGAUGUGGCUCAUUGAUUAUUGCUUGGUCUUAUGGGUACAGAAAAUGAUAUGGGCAUGGGUCUUUGCGAUCCUUAGUUUUGUCCGUGUUGAACGUUGUUAUUCCUGUAAGACGGUUUUCCUAGCCCGAAUUGGCUCGUACCACCGGGCAGGAUACACUGUUGAAGAGUAAUGAUAGCGUUCUUGCUUUUCUAAAUCGAACUGCCUAGCCUAGCAUGUACUAGCUUGUACUAGCAGGCAGGCUAUGUCGAAGAGGGAUGCUACCUGGUUGAUCCUGCCAGUAGUCAUAUGCUUGUCUCAA
rnacentral:misc_RNA from 1 species